rnacentral:rRNA from 1 species
GGCGUAGGGGGCGAGCGUUGUCCGGAAUUACUGGGCGUAAAGAGCACGUAGGCGGGAACUUAAGUCAGGUGUGAAAGACCGGGGCUCAACCUCGGGUAUGCACUUGAAACUGGGUUUCUUGAGGGCAGGAGAGGAAAGCAGAAUUCCUGGUGUAGCGGUGAAAUGCGUAGAAAUCAGGAGGAAUACCAGUGGCGAAGGCGGCUUUCUGGACUGACCCUGACGCUGAGGUGCGAAAGCGUGGGUAGCAAACAGGAUUAGAGACCCUGGUAGUCCACGCCGUAAACGAUGGAUACUAGGUGUGGGAGGUAUCGACCCCUUCCGUGCCGCAGCUAACGCAAUAAGUAUCCCGCCUGGGGAGUACGGUCGCAAGGCUGAA